AUGUCGAGCCUGAUAGAUAUUUGGACGGUGGAGGUGGACAGGAUUCGGGCCACGAGGAGAGCGGGGGAGCCGUUCAGACCCACGGCUUCGCCCGGCGCACAAGAAGGCGGCCACGUAGCUCAGCCGUCCGGCGACGGAAAUGGAACGCCAACAGCUGAUGGUGUCAUGGCUUGGCCGGCCAGGGAUCAGGCUGCCGGCGCUGGCGCUGGCUCGCCGUCGUCGCCGGUGCUCGUCCGGGAGGACGCCUUCUUGUCCAUCCUGGUCGAUUGCUUCGGUCAGUAG
rnacentral:rRNA from 1 species